rnacentral:rRNA from 1 species
CCUUCAUGAAGUCGGAAUUGCUAGUAAUGGCAGGUCAGCAUACUGCCGUGAAUACGUUCCCGGGCCUUGUACACACCGCCCGUCACACCAUGAGAGUUGGAAAUACCCGAAGCCUGUGAGCUAACCUUAUAGGAGGCAGCAGUCGAAGGUAGAGUCAAUGAUUGGGGUGAAGUCGUAACAAGGUAUC